UACGUAGGUGACCAGCGUUGUCCGGAUUUACUGGGCGUAAAGAGCGCGCAGGCGGUCGUUCAAGUCGAGUGUGAAAGCCCCCGGCUCAACUGGGGAGGGUCACUCGAUACUGGUCGACUCGAAGGCAGGAGAGGGAAGCGGAAUUCCCGGUGUAGUGGUGAAAUGCGUAGAUAUCGGGAGGAACACCAGUGGCGAAGGCGGCUUUCUGGCCUGCUCUUGACGCUGAGGCGCGAAAGCUAGGGUAGCAAACGGG
rnacentral:rRNA from 1 species